UGAACGCUGGCGGCAGGCCUAACACAUGCAAGUCGAGCGGAUGACAGGAGCUUGCUCCUGAAUUCAGCGGCGGACGGGUGAGUAAUGCCUAGGAAUCUGCCUGGUAGUGGGGGACAACGUUUCGAAAGGAACGCUAAUACCGCAUACGUCCUACGGGAGAAAGCAGGGGACCUUCGGGCCUUGCGCUAUCAGAUGAGCCUAGGUCGGAUUAGCUAGUUGGUGAGGUAAUGGCUCACCAAGGCGACGAUCCGUAACUGGUCUGAGAGGAUGAUCAGUCACACUGGAACUGAGACACGGUCCAGACUCCUACGGGAGGCAGCAGUGGGGAAUUUUGGACAAUGGGCGAAAGCCUGAUCCAGCCAUGCCGCGUGUGUGAAGAAGGUCUUCGGAUUGUAAAGCACUUUAAGUUGGGAGGAAGGGCAGUAACUUAAUACGUUGCUGUUUUGACGUUACCGACAGAAUAAGCACCGGCUAACUCUGUGCCAGCAGCCGCGGUAAUACAGAGGGUGCAAGCGUUAAUCGGAAUUACUGGGCCUAAAGCGCGCGUAGGUGGUUUGUUAAGUUGGAUGUGAAAUCCCCGGGCUCAACCUGGGAACUGCAUUCAAAACUGACAAGCUAGAGUAUGGUAGAGGGUGGUGGAAUUUCCUGU
rnacentral:rRNA from 1 species